rnacentral:rRNA from 1 species
CGUAGGGUGCGAGCGUUAAUCGGAAUUACUGGGCGUAAAGUGUGCGCAGGCGGCAGAGCAAGCCGAGUGUGAAAGCCCCGGGCUUAACUUGGGAAUUGCGCUCGAAACUACUUUGCUGGAGUGUGGCAGAGGAAGGUGGAAUUCCACGUGUAGCGGUGAAAUGCGUAGAGAUGUGGAGGAACACCAAUGGCGAAGGCAGCCUUCUGGGCCAACACUGACGCUCAUGCACGAAAGCGUGGGGAGCAAACAGGAUUAGAUACCCUGGUAGUCCACGCCCUAAACGAUGACGACUAGUUGUUGGAGGAGUUAAAUCCUUUAGUAACGCAGCUAACGCGCGAAGUCGUCCGCCUGGGGAGUACGGUCGCAAGAUUA